rnacentral:rRNA from 1 species
GAUGAACGCUGGCGGCGUGCCUAAUACAUGCAAGUCGAGCGAGAAGCUUGGAAAUGACGCUUCGGUUGAUUUUCCAAGCGGACAGCGGCGGACGGGUGAGUAACGCGUAGGCAACCUGCCCCUGACAGAGGGAUAGCCAUUGGAAACGAUGAUUAAAACCUCAUGACACCGUAGUAGCACAUGCUACAUCGGUCAAAGAUUUAUCGGUCAGGGAUGGGCCUGCGUCUGAUUAACUGGUUGGUGAGGUAACGGCUCACCAAGGUGACGAUCAGUAGCCGACCUGAGAGGGUGAUCGGCCACAUUGGAACUGAGACACGGUCCAAACUUCUACGGAAGGCAGCAGUAGGGAAUCUUGCACAAUGGGCGAAAGCCUGAUGCAGCAACGCCGCGUGAAGGAUGAAGCCUUGCGGGUUGUAAACUUCUGUUCUAAGGGAAGAAAGAAAUGACGGUACCUAG